UACGGAGGGGGCUAGCGUUGUUCGGAAUUACUGGGCGUAAAGCGCACGUAGGCGGCUUUGCAAGUCAGAGGUGAAAGCCCGGGGCUCAACCCCGGAAUUGCCUUUGAGACUGCAUCGCUAGAAUUGUGGAGAGGUAAGUGGAAUUCCGAGUGUAGAGGUGAAAUUCGUAGAUAUUCGGAAGAACACCAAUGGCGAAGGCGACUUACUGGACACAUAUUGACGCUGAGGUGCGAAAGCGUGGGGAGCAAACAGG
rnacentral:rRNA from 1 species